GGGGAUUUAGCUCAGUGGCAUAAAGUGCCUGCCUUGCAAGCAUGUGGUCAUGAAUUCAAUCCCCA
rnacentral:tRNA from 1 species